rnacentral:rRNA from 1 species
AUUGAACGCUGGCGGCAGGCCUAACACAUGCCAGUCGAGCGGAUGAAGGGAGCUUGCUCCUGGAUUCAGCGGCGGACGGGUGAGUAAUGCCUAGGAAUCUGCCUGGUAGUGGGGGAUAACGUCCGGAAACGGGCGCUAAUACCGCAUACGUCCUGAGGGAGAAAGUGGGGGAUCUUCGGACCUCACGCUAUCAGAUGAGCCUAGGUCGGAUUAGUUAGUUGGUGGGGUAAAGGCCUACCAAGGCGACGAUCCGUAACUGGUCUGAGAGGAUGAUCAGUCACACUGGAACUGAGACACGGUCCAGACUCCUACGGGAGGCAGCAGUGGGGAAUAUUGGACAAUGGGCGAAAGCCUGAUCCAGCCAUGCCGCGUGUGUGAAGAAGGUCUUCGGAUUGUAAAGCACUUUAAGUUGGGAGGAAGGGCAGUAAGUUAAUACCUUGCUGUUUUGACGUUACCAACAGAAUAAGCACCGGCUAACUUCGUG